UACAGAGGGUGCGAGCGUUGUCCGGAAUCACUGGGCGUAAAGGGCGCGUAGGCGGUUCGAUAAGUAGGGGGUGAAAUCUUGCGGCUCAACCGCAAGGCUGCCUUCUAGACUGUCGGACUUGAGCACAGUAGAGGCAGGUGGAAUUCCCGGUGUAGCGGUGGAAUGCGUAGAGAUCGGGAAGAACAUCGGUGGCGAAGGCGGCCUGCUGGGCUGUUGCUGACGCUGAGGCGCGACAGCGUGGGGAGCAAACAGG
rnacentral:rRNA from 1 species